GGGUUUGGGGGUGCCAGCUGCAGGGUUUGGGGUGCCAGGGAGAUGGUUUGGGGUGCCAGCUGCAGGUUUGGGGUGCCAGCAGGAAGGUUUGGGGUGCCAGCUGCAGGGAUUGGGGUGCCAGCUGCAGGGUUUGGAGGUGCCAGCAGGAAGGUUUGGGGUGCCAGC